UAGGGAGCGAGCGUUAUCCGGAUUUAUUGGGUGUAAAGGGUGCGUAGGCGGCUUCUUAAGUUUGUAGUCUAAGCCCGGAGCUUAACUCCGGUUCGCUACAAAAACUGAGUUGCUUGAGUAUGGUAGAGGCAAGUGGAAUUUCUAGUGUAGCGGUUAAAUGCGUAGAUAUUAGAAGGAACACCAGUGGCGAAGGCGACUUGCUGGGCCAUUACUGACGCUGAGGCACGAAAGCGUGGGGAGC
rnacentral:rRNA from 1 species